rnacentral:rRNA from 1 species
CACACCGCCCGUCACACCAUGGGAGUCAGUUUGCUCUAGAAGUCGGUGAGCUAACCUUCGGGAAGCAGCCGCCUAAAGAGUGUCUGGUAACUGGGGUG